rnacentral:lncRNA from 1 species
UACUUCUGCAAAUAUUAAAGAUUAAUCCAGCACUCGUGAUCGGAGUGCAAGCCUUUAGCUGACCCACAAAGCCCAAAGGAUUAGUUGGGUUUUUGAAACAGAUGCUGAUAUAAUUACACAGGAAGAAACAUGACUUGCCAGUUUGAAAAGACACCUUCAGCAUUACAAUACCAGCAAGGUACCUCCAGCUUUGUGACGGUUUGACAUGGGAGGACUCCUAUAAACAGAAUUGCAACAGUUGAAAAACCAGGCUAGGUAACUGAAACUUCCCCAAUCUGAUCAGGCUUGCUUUUCCGUCUCUUUAGACAUAAAUAUCUAGCACGAUUACACCUUUGAUUUACUAUUAUGCAUGAGUUGGAAUAACAUGGGUGGUUUUGAAUUAUGCAUUCUCUUAACAGAACAUU